rnacentral:rRNA from 1 species
CCCUACGGGGUGCAGCAGUUUUUAGCGGAAACCGGCGGACUGGGUGGGGAGGCGGUAAAAACCGUGUAGAUUUGGGAUUUCUGUGCCGGGAUGGGGGGCGAUGCCUUGGGGAUGGCCCAGCAAUUUUCUGACGUGCCCGGCAUCAAGAAACCCUUUAUGUGGGCGGUGGAUCUUUCCGAGGUGCGGCUCUGGUGUUGUGCCCAGAAUGCCCGGGAACUGGGGAUUGAAGUGGAUCUGAAGAUGAUCCCGGGGGAUGUCACCGCCGUAGCGGAAAAAGCCGCGGCCAGCGCAGGGGCAAGAUUUUUUCAUAUUGAUCCGGCCCGGCGGAAUGCGGGGAAACGGAGCCAUGCGUGGGAAGACUUGAUGCCGGGACCGGAGGAGAUUGAGAAUAUCGCGGCUCAGUUUGUGGGUGAUGGCGGGGCGGGGGAGC